AUUGAACGCUGGCGGCAUGCUUUACACAUGCAAGUCGGACGGCAGCACAGAGAAGCUUGCUUCUUGGGUGGCGAGUGGCGAACGGGUGAGUAAUAUAUCGGAACGUACCGAGUAAUGGGGGAUAACUAAUCGAAAGAUUAGCUAAUACCGCAUAUUCUCUGAGGAGGAAAGCAGGGGACCUUCGGGCCUUGCGUUAUUCGAGCGGCCGAUAACUGAUUAGCUAGUUGGUGGGGUAAAGGCCUACCAAGGCGACGAUCAGUAGCGGGUCUGAGAGGAUGAUCCGCCACACUGGGACUGAGACACGGCCCAGACUCCUACGGGAGGCAGCAGUGGGGAAUUUUGGACAAUGGGCGCAAGCCUGAUCCAGCCAUGCCGCGUGUCUGAAGAAGGCCUUCGGGUUGUAAAGGACUUUUGUCAGGGAAGAAAAGGCUGUUGCUAAUACCGACAGCUGAUGACGGUACCUGAAGAAUAAGCACCGGCUAACUACGUG
rnacentral:rRNA from 1 species